GUUGAUUUCUUCGGAUUGAUUCUUAACUGACUGAGCGGCGGACGGGUGAGUAACGCGUGGGUGACCUGCCCCAUACCGGGGGAUAACAGCUGGAAACGGCUGCUAAUACCGCAUAAGCGCACAGAGCUGCAUGGCUCCGUGUGAAAAACUCCGGUGGUAUGGGAUGGGCCCGCGUCUGAUUAGGCAGUUGGCGGGGUAACGGCCCACCAAACCGACGAUCAGUAGCCGGCCUGAGAGGGCGACCGGCCACAUUGGGACUGAGACACGGCCCAAACUCCUACGGGAGGCAGCAGUGGGGAAUAUUGCACAAUGGGGGAAACCCUGAUGCAGCGACGCCGCGUGAGCGAAGAAGUAUUUCGGUAUGUAAAGCUCUAUCAGCAGGGAAGAUAAUGACGGUACCUGACUAAGAAGCCCCGGCUAACUACGUGCCAGCAGCCGCGGUAAUACGUAGGGGGCAAGCGUUAUCCGGAUUUACUGGGUGUAAAGGGAGCGUAGACGGCAAGGCAAGUCUGAUGUGAAACCCAGGGCUUAACCCUGGGACUGCAUUGGAAACUGUCUGGCUCGAGUGCCGGAGAGGUAAGCGGAAUUCCUAGUGUAGCGGUGAAAUGCGUAGAUAUUAGGAAGAACACCAGUGGCGAAGGCGGC
rnacentral:rRNA from 1 species